AAAUGAUCAGCUAUUCAAACACCGGUUAGUUUUUGGUAUAUCACACAAUAUGUUUAACUUCUUUGCCAAAGAUGAAUGCCAAGAGAAAGUUUUAAAGAGAUUAUUAUGAAUUACCAACGUUUAAAAAAACUGUUUGAUAUUUUCCAAUUUUGAUGUACAUAAUUAGAACUUUUUUUGAUAAAGAAACAUAAAAAAUAAGGUGAUAACAAAAUGUAAAUAUUAUCAUACAUGAUCUCUCAGACUAUUUAAAACAACACUUUAAGACGAUGAUAUGCAAAUCAUCAAAUUACAAAACACUGAAAUUUGAAAGUAUGAUACAUAUAUAAAUAACUCAGUAAAGGAUAAGGUAUAAUGAGGUAUAUAACCUUUCGAAUUGAAUUUAGGAGUAUAAAUUAUCAGCUGUUAAAAUAAAUCAUUAGAUAUACGUGUAUCACAAUUCUUCUAAUAUUUCAACGAUUAAUGUUAACAAUAAAUAAAAACGUGAUUAAUAUAAAUUAUAAAAUCUUAAAUGUUCAAUUGGAUAACCUCUAGUGUUGUUAAAGCCUUAGUAAAUUUUACUUUGCCUAAAGCUGUUUUCAAAUAUUUUAAAACUAUUAAAAGGCAGCAACCAAACCUCCUCCUUAAAACAGUAAUAAAUACUCAAAACAUUAUCUGAUAUGUAUCGUUGACAUACUAAUUUGCAACCCUUCAAAUGUGUGCAUUAUUUCAUAAUAAACUUUAUAGAUAUUUGAUAGAAAAUCAACUUAUUAUCAAUGAAGCAAUCGUCUCGAGUGAUUGUUCAGACUGAAAUAGAUGUGUUCAGACCGAAAUAGAUGUUGCUUCAUGAGUUUUUACAGAAACAGAGGAAAGUGGUUUAUUUAUCUUUUUAUCUAAUAUGCAUGCUUUACUGAUUUAGUAUAUAAGGACUUACGACACAAUAUUUUGAUUUGAUUUCAAAUGAAAUUGUAUUGAAAUUUCAAAGUGAAAUUGUAUUGAAAUUUCAAAGUAUACAAUAUCAAUUUCAAAUUAGUAUUUAGAUUUUUUUUUCAAAUUCAGGUUACGAAAAUCAAAAUUUGAAUGAAUACUGUCGUUUUCUAUGACAGCUGCUGUAUCUUUGAACUUUCAAUAUUGGAGAUUUUGUGAGAAAACUUUACGUUCCAUUCCUUUUUUUUGUUGUUUGGUUACUUUUGGGGUGAACAUGCAUAAUUAUUUGAGAUAUAAUGAACAGAAAUGUAUCGGCAGCUUGUAUUGCUAUCAAGUUUGAAUUGACUAUUUCUUCUUAAAAAUAACAUUUAUAAUUUAACAGCGAAAUUCUUUUCAACAAGGCAUCACAACUGUUCUUUUUCAUUUGAGACGCAAAGAAGAACUCUUUUAUUUUAGGGCAUCAUCUUUCAACACAAGCCUAUUUAUAUCGCAAUAGUCGUCGAAAACGUCCGAAUUUUCAAAAUUAGCAAUGCUGCGCAAUCGAGUUUAAUGUAAAAUCUAUCAUCAUUUUAUAAAACUGAAAAAUGAAUAUUUGUAAAUCAAAAUGUCUUGGACAACGUUGCCUGUAUCAUUGGAUUCUCCUUUUCUAUUUGCUUGUGUCGAUUUUGCUUUAGUUACGGUAUUUUUCUAUCAGCAACUCAUUAUCCCGUCCACUAUUGAUUGUUUCGAAAUUACUAAAAGAUAUGUGACACUAAUAUCUCGAAUUAUUUAACUUUCAAAGCAUAUAUAGCUCAAACAGGAGAAACACAACAAAGGGAAUAUGCUCGGGACGAAAAAGUAUUUUGAUUUAAACUGUCAAAUAUCGCAAUAAUUACACAUAUACAGUAUCCCUCCAAUUUCGAAUUCUAUUUUUUUUCUUUGCAAAGCGAUGACAACUUUUACUUAAACAAUAUAGAGAUAACAAGGGAGUGCAACAAAAGUUUUAACUUUGUAAGUGCAUUGCAUGAUUGUAAAAAUACUCAAUUAAUAUCCCUAUAGUAACAGGCUGGGAUGUAUUUUGUCCAUUUUGAGAGGGAUUUUCUCUUUGCAAAGUAUAUGUAAAUGAAUACCAUAUCUAAAUAAUGUGAAUGUAAAUUAAGAAUAAAUAAUUUAUAAAAAUUACUUUAAUAUGUAAAAAUCAUAAAAAUAA
rnacentral:lncRNA from 1 species